UAAAAUAAAAUACCAAAAGCACUAUCUAGGAAGAGAAAGAAAAUGAUUACUAUAAUUAUUGAAUUAUAUUAAAGUUGAAAUGUUCUAUAUAUCAAAAGACCCCAUUAGUAAAAAAGCAAGCCAUAAAAAAGGAGAUUAUACCUGUAACACAAAUAUUUGACAAAGACUUGCAUUCAGAAUCUAUUUUUAAAAGUACUACAAAUCAAUUAAAACAAACAGAUGAUCCAGUGAAAUUAUGGGCAAAUGACUUGAAGAAAACAUCACAAAAGAGAAUAUCCGAAUGGCCAAUAGACACAUCAAAAGGUGCUUAAAUGUCAUUAGUCAUCCAUGAAAUGCAAAUGAAAACCCAAUGCAAUAUUACUACACAUUCAAGGAUAUGGAACAGUGAACACCCUCAUAAACUACUGUCAGGGAGUAAAUUUGUACAACCACUUUGGAAAGUUAUUUGACAAUGUUCAUUAAAGCUGAACAUACACAAACCCAAUCUACCAGAAAUUCCACUCUGAAGCACAAACCCCAUAGAAACAUACAUAUACAUCCAUAUAUGCAUCAAAACAUAUGUACACAAUAGUGCUACAUAUAACAGUGAAAACUGGAAAUGAUACCAGUACCCAUCAAUAGGGUAAUGAAUUCCUAAGUGGUGGUAUAUUCAUAGAACAGAACACUAUACAGAAAUGAGGAUUAACAAACUGUACGCAGCAACAUGUAUGAAUCUCAGAAUUACAGUGUUGAGCAAAAGAAGUCAAAGAUGAGAACGCAUUAUAUGAUUCCAUUUAUACAGGGUUGAGAAGAUGCAAACCUGAACUUUGCUGUUACAAAUCAGGAUUGUGCUUGCUGUAGAUGUGAGUAGUCACUGGAGGGAGAAGAAGGGCCUGUGGAAAUUGUGGUCAUGUUCUGUCUUUGUUUAGAGGAUGUGUUCUUGCUGUAUCCCGAGUCUAUCAUGAAAGAGUGAAUGCAUGGCCUGGUUUUGACAGCAAGCGUAACAUCUAGCGUAUGAGGGAAUACCAAUCCCCUACAAACCUCAGAAAUUAAAGUUCACUGAAGGCUCGUGAAUGAAUUAAUGAUGCUAUAAAAAGGGCUCGUGGGUGUGAGUUCACCUCCUUCCACCAUCUGCUGUGUGAGGAUGCAGCAAGAAGGUUCUCAUCAGAUUUUGAUGCCUUGAUCUUGGACUUCCCAGCCCCCAGAACUGUGAAAAGUAAACUUCUCUUAUUUGUAAAUUAUCCAGUCUCAGGUGUUCUGUUACAGCAGUACGAAAUAAACUAAGACAGUUCUCUUUGUAAAAGAGAGUGUACAUGGACCUGUACACUUAUGAUUGUGCAUUUUUCUGGAAGCGUAUUUUAUUCAAUGAAACAAGGCAAAUGAAAGCCCAAAAAAAGUGUAUGAGCAUGGAAAGGUGUUUUUGAAUGUAAGCGGAUAUCUGAGAGCUGAGGGGAGGGCAUGUGCAGUCCCAGCUCCCCUUUAAGCCCAGAGCCUCAGCAGGAAGUAUUAUACAGAGUCCCUCCCUCCUGGAGUGUCCGCGAGCUCCAACCCUCCUGCAGUUUGGGGAUCCUUGAGGGCCCAUGGCAUUUUCUUUUCAAAUAGGCUGUCAGGCCGUGUAUAUUCUCCACAUUGUUUGAAAAGAAACUUCCACAGCGUCAGACACAUUGGGAUUCUGACCCUGAGUCUUUUGGCCAGCAUCUGUUCUGAUUAGGAUACUCACCCUCCUACACCAUAUCACUGGUGUGGGACUAAGUGCUUGCCAGUGUUUGUUUCUCCCUCUUCUCCUAACCUCAAAAGACCUGAGCCCCUGACUGGCCAGUGUGGGGUGGAGGAAAGACCCCAGGCCGUAGGGAAAUGAGACCAAUGGUGUACCAGAGUCCAGGGGAGAGUGACUCAGGCAGGAAUGACUGUGACCAGUCGAUGGGGUAGAACCCAAAGUGUGAAGUUGAUUCCCUGUGGAGAGACAAAUCCAGGGGUGUGCAGCAACACUGUGUAGGAUGUUUGCAACCCACAGCUUCAGUGGCAGCAUCCUUGCAGGUCAUUUGUGAAUUGCAUAACCGAAAUGAAUCAUGCUCCUGUGAAGACACAUGCUUUUAGUUUAAGAUAUUAAACAGUAGCUCCUGUGAGUAACACAGAUAUAAUCCUAUACAUUUACGAAUGCAUUGGAUAAAGUAGUACUUACAAGAACUCCAGUAGAAUUGAUAUCCACACUGCAUCGGUAUGUAAAACAUGAGUUGCCCAAUUCCCCCAACAGGCAGAAAACAGACUCCUUGGCUCAGCCCCAUGAGUCUGUACCACAGGAACCCUACAUAGAAUCAGAGUUGGAAAAGCCUGUUGCAGUUCACCUGGUUCAGCCUUUCCCAGGCAGAGGGCUCAGUCCCUGAUUCCUGUCCCCAGGGAGCAAGGAAAGCAGGGAAAACCAUCUAUUCACUUCUCCCAGCGCAACUCCUAUGUGAAAAGGAAAAAGCAGUGAACAACCUGGAGCUUUCCAGAAGCAACACUGCAAAAUAAACUAAGCAGCACAAAAUAAACUAACACAGUUUCUGGAUCUGUGUGGCUACAGCGCUGAUGAGGUUAAAUGCUAACAAGAUGCCUUGUCUGGAACCAAAGGGUGAGCAUACCUUUAAGUAUCUGGAUAUUAUUGUUUUGCAUCCCCAUUUAAAAGAUAAUAAAGUGGUGGUGUUUCCUCUUUACCCUGAAACCCCAGAAGGAACAAAAAUUCCCCUUUCUGUUACAUACAAGAUUCAUAAGAGUUUUGUUUUGAAUGUUGGAUUCCUUUGGGGGAGGGGGAACAUAAAUACUUGGUGUUUGAUAUGUGUGUGUGUGCGCGCGCGCACGUGUGUGUGUGUGUGUGUGUGUACACAAAGAAAGAGGUUGCUUUCUCCCUCUCACUUCCCUGCAUUACAAGUCUUUGCCUCUUGCUCUGAACUUGUAACUUUCCGCAUUGUGCCAGGGGGCAGGCAGUUUCUAGGUUGUCGGUUUUCCAAGGUCGUCCUUUGAGAUUAGUGUUCUGUGGGUUGCAUCUGUAAUAAGUCAGACAAGGGUUUCUUCAGCUGACUUAGUAGGCUCUUCCCUUCUGAUCUGAUACUGUUGAGGAAGUCUCAGCACAGCCCGUAGAGUGUUUUGUUGCUAUAUGUUCCUAAAAGAAAACAAAAGCAGAGUUUAAUCAUUUUUGGUGCCCACUCCUCAUCUGUCUCCUCCCUCUGUGUCCUUUGGUGACUGUGAAAGGAGGUGACGGUGUCUGGUGGAGUUGGUGGAGAGAGAAACAGUGGCCUGUGGGUUGGAGCUCAGAGAAAGAGGUUAUCCUAGGAUGAAAUAUCAAACCAUAUCACAUUGAUUUUCCCUUUGGGGGGCCCGGAUAUCACAUCCUUCCAUUUCCCUCUAGUCCCUGCCCGCCAUCGACAGGGAAGCAUUAACAGGGAAUAAUCAAUGACGCCCUGUCCUGAAAAUAAAACUUGUCAUGUCUCUCCAUUUGGUGGAAUGGAUGUGGGACCAGGGGUCAUGUGGCCGCUUCCAUCUGUCUCCUGACACAGGCACUGACUCAGACAUGCUUUCCGUCCACAGGGCUGCAGCCCACAGCCAGGUGACUGCAAACUCUCCGCGGGCAUCAAGAAAAACAAGACUUUAAUUUCUUUGAACCCCUGUGUCAGGAGCUUGGCUGACUAUGAAAUAUGGCAGCUUAGGAGUGGUGUGAGUGAACUUUAAUUUCUGAGUUUUGUAAAGGAUUGAUAUUCCCUCUUAUGCUAGAUGCUGCUCGUGCUGUCGAACCAGGCCAUGCAUUCACUGUUUCAUGAUAGAAUCAGAAAUUCAGAAUUGACAGGGACUUUGCUCUGUGGUCCAGCCCCAUUCCCCAUCUGAUAUAUGAGUUCACUACAACUUUCCUGGUAAACCCAAUGAUUGUCUGAACAUCACUGCUGCCUCCUAUAAUUGCUCAUCGGUUUGUCAGAAAGCUCCACUCUUAGCAAGUGUUUUCUUAUACUUUACCAAAAUCUAUUUUCUGGGGUUUUUCUCGCAGUAGUCCCUCCACAUGUUAACACGGGCCCUGGAAACAGAGGUGCGUUCUCCCAAGAAGCUGCCCUCUAUGGGCCCUGCGUAAGUGUCAAUAAGGUGACUCGCUUGCCUUAUUUCCAGCAAUAACCCCGAUUUUCUUUGGAGAAUCUGCCUUCCUCCACUCUCAUGUCAUGAGGUUUAAUGACAUCUCUCUCCCUCCUUUCCCCAAGCUCAAUGGGUAGGCACAAUUUCUAAAGCUAUGCAGUGGGACUCACUGUCCUGGACUUUCAAUCUUGAUUAGGUGGUAGAAGGACAGCCCCCCUGCCCUGAGACAACACUCAGAGGCGUGUAUUCCAGCGAGAGUGCCCUGAUAAGACAGUUCUGGCCACCCUUGCCUGGACCCUCCACCUUCCCAUCAGUGUCAUGAAUUCUCCAGUCUUUUCCCAGGUAAGUCCAGUUUCCCUUCAAUGUAUGAGAGUUAUAGUCUAUUGCCUAUAGCAAUAUAACUCUCAGUGUAAAACAAAGUGCAGGUUUCAACAGUAACCAGGCUCUGAGGCCGGCCUGCCUUGACUCACGUUAGCCUCACUGACACAGCUCUCCUGGUUUCCUGGUGGGCACCUCAUGCUUCAACCAUCCAUUAAGGGACAGCCUAGCCUUGUGCCUGACACAGAAGGGGAGUAAGAAGCCCUUUGCUGAAAUACAGAUGGACCACAUCCAGGAGUCUAAUAUGGCAAAGACAGAAAUGAUGUCAAUUGGAUGUAGCGUGUGUGUGUUGUUAAUGAACCCGUGUAGCAUCACUGUGAUCACCAUUUUGUUUUCUAGAUGCUCAGAGGUUAUUUAGGAUCUGAGAUUCUUGCUUGGCAGUCAUGAGUAGCUCCUGUAUUUGCAGAAUGAAUUCUCGGUGGGACCUUUGUUGCCUCCAAGAUCACUGACAAUUUACCAGUCCCAUUUUCAAAGGUUAUCAGCAUCUGGAAAGCAAUUCAUCGAGCUGCUUUCGUCUAAGACAUGGCUUAAUGUUCACUGUUGUACCUCUGGUGCCUAAAACAGCAGGUGUGGCAGACAGACUUCAAGAUGUCCCAUGAUUGCUGCCUCUUGGAGUCUACAGCUUUGUGUAAUCCCCUCCCCUUGGCUGUGGCUUGCUUCUAGCCAAUAGGAUGUGGCAAAGGUGAUGAGAUGUCAUGCCCAUGGUUAUGUUACAGAGGAGUCUGUCUUGUUAUCACUCUCCCUUUCUCCCUCUCCCUGUUGCUGACUUUGAAGGAACAAGCUUCCAUGAAAUAAAUGACCAUGUUGGAGAAGCCCACGUGGCAAGGAACUGUCAGCAGUCUCUAAGAGCUGAGGGUAGACUUCAGCAAGAAACUGAAACCCUCAGUCUGACGGCCACAAGGAAAUAAAUUCUGCCAACAGCCUGAAGAAACUUGGAGCAGAUCUUUCAUCAGUUGAGCUUCUGAUGACAUUGCAGCCCCAGCUGUCACCUGGAUAGCAGCUGGCAAAACCCUUCAGCAGAGGAGCCAGCCAAGCUGUGUGUAAACUUCUGACCUGCAGAAACUAUAGCUAAUGAGUGUUAUUUAGAACUGCUAAGUUUGUGGUGGGUAGUUAAGCAGCACAGAAGAUGAAUAAAGUAGGCAGGAAGUGAUGGCUCACGCCUGUAAUCCCAGCACUUUGGGAGGCCGAGGCUGGCAGAUUACCUGAGGUCGGGAGUUCGAGACCAGCCUGUCCAACA